GACGAACGCUGGCGGCGUGCUUAACACAUGCAAGUCGAACGGAAAGGCCCUGCUUUUGUGGGGUGCUCGAGUGGCGAACGGGUGAGUAACACGUGAGUAACCUGCCCUUGACUUUGGGAUAACUUCAGGAAACUGGGGCUAAUACCGGAUAGGAGCUCCUGCUGCAUGGUGGGGGUUGGAAAGUUUCGGCGGUUGGGGAUGGACUCGCGGCUAUCAGCUUGUUGGUGGGGUAGUGGCUUACCAAGGCUUUGACGGGUAGCCGGCCUGAGAGGGUGACCGGCCACAUUGGGACUGAGAUACGGCCCAGACUCCUACGGGAGGCAGCAGUGGGGAAUAUUGCACAAUGGGCGGAAGCCUGAUGCAGCAACGCCGCGUGUGGGAUGACGGCCUUCGGGUUGUAAACCGCUUUCGCCUGUGACGAAGCGUGAGUGACGGUAAUGGGUAAAGAAGCACCGGCUAGCUACGUG
rnacentral:rRNA from 1 species